AUGAAAUGUGAUCCUCGGUUUCCUACUUCACCUAUCUAUGGUGACGAUAAGGAUUAUGAAUUCUCUGUCGACCCAGAGUUGAUUACUUUGGUUGAAUCUGAUCCUUUCCAUGGUUAUGAAACUGAAACUGUUGUGGCACAUCUUACUAAGUUGAAUGACAUAGCCACCCUUUUUGCUCAUGAUGAGAAAAUUCACUAUUAUUACAUUCUCAAAUUAUUUCCACUCUCAUUAAAGGGUGACGCUAAAGCUUCGUACAAUACUCUUGCUCCUGGUUGUGUGUGUAGUCCCCAGGACAUGAUUUAUUACUUCUCUGAAAAAUAUCUCCCUGCUUAUAAGAAACAAGUUGUCUUACAGGAAAUAUUUAACUUUGUGCAAAUUGAAGAAGAGAGUCUCCCACAAGCUUGGGGGAGGCUUCUCCAAUUUCUUAAUGCUUUGCCGGAUCAUCCUCUUAAGAAAAAUGAAAUACUUGAUAUCUUCUAUAAUGGACUAACCUAUGCUUCUAGGGAUUCCCUAGAUAGUUGUGCUAGUUGUGUUUUCAGGGAACGAACUAUUGGGCAAGCUGAAGAAUUAUUGAAUAACAUACUAAAAAAUUAUGAUGAUUGGACUCUUCCUAAACCACUGCUUAAACCCACUCCAAAGAAGAGGGGUAUCUUACAUCUCAGUCUUGAAGAUAUGCAAGAGGCAAAGAAAUCUAUGAGAGAAAAGGUAUUAAAGCUGAGGAUGUCAAAAUUUUACCUCCUAUUGAAUAAAUACAUGGGCUUGACACACCACCACCACCUAAGGUGCUAG
rnacentral:rRNA from 1 species